rnacentral:rRNA from 1 species
AGUGAACGCUGGCGGUAGGCCUAACACAUGCAAGUCGAACGGCAGCACAGUAAGAGCUUGCUCUUACGGGUGGCGAGUGGCGGACGGGUGAGGAAUACAUCGGAAUCUACUUUUUCGUGGGGGAUAACGUAGGGAAACUUACGCUAAUACCGCAUACGACCUACGGGUGAAAGCAGGGGAUCUUCGGACCUUGCGCGAUUGAAUGAGCCGAUGUCGGAUUAGCUAGUUGGCGGGGUAAGGGCCCACCAAGGCGACGAUCCGUAGCUGGUCUGAGAGGAUGAUCAGCCACACUGGAACUGAGACACGGUCCAGACUCCUACGGGAGGCAGCAGUGGGUAAUAUUGGACAAUGGGCGCAAGCCUGAUCCAGCCAUACCGCGUGGGUGAAGAAGGCCUUCGGGUUGUAAAGCCCUUUUGUUGGGAAAGAAAAGCAGCAGGUUAAUACCCCGCUGUUCUGACGGUACCCAAAGAAUAAGCACCGGCUAACUUCGUG